rnacentral:tRNA from 1 species
ACCUGGGUGGCUCAGUUGGUAGAGCAUGUGAUUCUUGAUCUCAGGGGUUGUGAGUUUAAGCCCCAUGUUGGGUG